rnacentral:rRNA from 1 species
CAGGCUUAACACAUGCAAGUCGAGGGGCAGCAUGGUCUUAGCUUGCUAAGGCCGAUGGCGACCGGCGCACGGGUGAGUAACACGUAUCCAACCUGCCGUCUACUCUUGGACAGCCUUCUGAAAGGAAGAUUAAUACAAGAUGGCAUCAUGAGUCCGCAUGUUCACAUGAUUAAAGGUAUUCCGGUAGACGAUGGGGAUGCGUUCCAUUAGAUAGUAGGCGGGGUAACGGCCCACCUAGUCUUCGAUGGAUAGGGGUUCUGAGAGGAAGGUCCCCCACAUUGGAACUGAGACACGGUCCAAACUCCUACGGGAGGCAGCAGUGAGGAAUAUUGGUCAAUGGGCGAGAGCUUGAACCAGCCAAGUAGCGUGAAGGAUGACUGCCCUAUGGGUUGUAAACUUCUUUUAUAAAGGAAUAAAGUCGGGUAUGGAUACCCGUUUGCAUGUACUUUAUGAAUAAGGAUCGGCUAACUCCGUGCCAGCAGCCGCGGUAAUACGGAGGAUCCGAGCGUUAUCCGGAUUUAUUGGGUUUAAAGGGAGCGUAGAUGGAUGUUUAAGUCAGUUGUGAAAGUUUGCGGCUCAACCGUAAAAUUGCAGUUGAUACUGGAUAUCUUGAGUGCAGUUGAGGCAGGCGGAAUUCGUGGUGUAGCGGUGAAAUGCUUAGAUAUCACGAAGAACUCCGAUUGCGAAGGCAGCCUGCUAAGCUGCAACUGACAUUGAGGCCCGAAAGUGUGGGUAUCAAACAGGAUUAGAUACCCUGGUAGUCCACACGGUAAACGAUGAAUACUCGCUGUUUGCGAUAUACUGCAAGCGGCCAAGCGAAAGCGUUAAGUAUUCCACCUGGGGAGUACGCCGGCAACGGUGAAACCCAAAGGAAUUGACGGGGGCCCGCACAAGCGGAGGAACAUGUGGUUUAAUUCGAUGAUACGCGAGGAACCUUACCCGGGCUUAAAUUGCAGAUGAAUUACGGUGAAAGCCGUAAGCCGCAAGGCAUCUGUGAAGGUGCUGCAUGGUUGUCGUCAGCUCGUGCCGUGAGGUGUCGGCUUAAGUGCCAUAACGAGCGCAACCCUUGUUGUCAGUUACUAACAGGUUCCGCUGAGGACUCUGACAAGACUGCCAUCGUAAGAUGUGAGGAAGGUGGGGAUGACGUCAAAUCAGCACGGCCCUUACGUCCGGGGCUACACACGUGUUACAAUGGGGGGUACAGAGGGCCGCUACCACGCGAGUGGAUGCCAAUCCCCAAAACCUCUCUCAGUUCGGACUGGAGUCUGCAACCCGACUCCACGAAGCUGGAUUCGCUAGUAAUCGCGCAUCAGCCACGGCGCGGUGAAUACGUUCCCGGGCCUUGUACACACCGCCCGUCAAGCCAUGGGAGCCGGGGGUACCUGAAGUGCGUAACCGCGAGGAGCGCCCUAGGGUAAAACUGGUGACUGGGGCUAA